rnacentral:misc_RNA from 1 species
CAGGACUCGCAAGACUCCUUAAACCCCUGUGAACUUACUGUUUAUACGUUGCUUCGGCGGGUGCUCCGGGGUCCGCCCCGGGGCGCUGCGCCCGCCGGCAGCCUUCAUAAUUCUGUUUCUCUGCGUUGGCAUCUCGAGUAAGCAAAAUAAGUUA